GCCAGUGUGCCAUAGUGGUUAGCGUGUUGGACUAUGACCUGGGAGACCGGGGUUUGAAUCCCCGCUCAGCCA